rnacentral:rRNA from 1 species
GGCUUAGAGUUUGAUCAUGGCUCAGGAUGAACGCUGGCGGCGUGCCUAAUACAUGCAAGUCGAGCGAAGCGCUUGCCUUUGAUCCUUCGGGUGAAGAGGCUUGCGACUGAGCGGCGGACGGGUGAGUAACACGUAGGGAACCUGCCUCACACAGGGGGAUAACAGUUAGAAAUGACUGCUAAUACCGCAUAAGCGCACAGGACCGCAUGGUCUGGUGUGAAAAGCUCCGGCGGUGUGAGAUGGACCUGCGUCUGAUUAGCCAGUUGGCGGGGUAACGGCCCACCAAAGCGACGAUCAGUAGCCGGCCUGAGAGGGUGGACGGCCACAUUGGGACUGAGACACGGCCCAGACUCCUACGGGAGGCAGCAGUAGGGAAUAUUGCACAAUGGGGGAAACCCUGAUGCAGCGACGCCGCGUGAGCGAAGAAGUAUCUCGGUAUGUUAAGCUCUAUCAGCAGGGAAGAAGAUGACGGUACCUGACUAAGAAGCACCGGCUAAAUACGUGCCAGCAGCCGCGGUAAUACGUAUGGUGCAAGCGUUAUCCGGAUUUACUGGGUGUAAAGGGAGCGUAGACGGAAGAGCAGGUCUGGAGUGAAAGCCCGGGGCUCAACCCCGGGACUGCUUUGGAAACUGUUUAUCUAGAGUGCCGGAGAGGCAAGCG